CCCGAAUAUAUAAAUCACUUGACAAUAACAGCAAAAUGCUAGAGCUGUACUUAUAAAACUCCAGACAACAACAUAUUCUCUUGUGUAUAGCCCUAACUAUUGUAUCAUACACGCGGAGAGACGCUAAAAAAUGCUUAGUCGGCAAGUUUCGCCCGAUCGUGUUUAAGCUCGCCCGCGUGACGUCAUUGCAUAUAAUUAUGACGCAUGUUAAUGAGUGACGUCAUUACUCCUCCUCACUCCUCCUCCUCAUUUCUCCUCACUCCUCCUCCUCACUCCUCCACCGCCACCACCACAUGCCACCACCACAUUCCACCACCAACACCACACGCCACCACCAC